GACGAACGCUUGCGGCGUGCUUAACACAUGCAAGUCGAACGGAAAGGCCCUGCUUUUGUGGGGUGCUCGAGUGGCGAACGGGUGAGUAACACGUGAGUAACCUGCCCUUGACUUUGGGAUAACUUCAGGAAACUGGGGCUAAUACCGGAUAGGAGCUCCUGCUGCAUGGUGGGGGUUGGAAAGUUUCGGCGGUUGGGGAUGGACUCGCGGCUUAUCAGCUUGUUGGUGGGGUAGUGGCUUACCAAGGCUUUGACGGGUAGCCGGCCUGAGAGGGUGACCGGCCACAUUGGGACUGAGAUACGGCCCAGACUCCUACGGGAGGCAGCAGCGGGGAAUAUUGCACAAUGGGCGGAAGCCUGAUGCAGCAACGCCGCGUGCGGGAUGACGGCCUUCGGGUUGUAAACCGCUUUCGCCUGUGACGAAGCGUGAGUGACGGUAAUGGGUAAAGAAGCACCGGCUAACUACGUGCCAGCAGCCGCGGUGAUACGUAGGGUGCGAGCGUUGUCCGGAUUUAUUGGGCGUAAAGGGCUCGUAGGUGGUUGAUCGCGUCGGAAGUGUAAUCUUGGGGCUUAACCCUGAGCGUGCUUUCGAUACGGGUUGACUUGAGGAAGGUAGGGGAGAAUGGAAUUCCUGGUGGAGCGGUGGAAUGCGCAGAUAUCAGGAGGAACACCAGUGGCGAAGGCGGUUCUCUGGGCCUUUCCUGACGCUGAGGAGCGAAAGCGUGGGGAGCGAACAGGCUUAGAUACCCUGGUAGUCCACGCUGUAAACGGUGGGUACUAGGUGUGGGGUCCAUUCCACGGGUUCCGUGCCGUAGCUAACGCUUUAAGUACCCCGCCUGGGGAGUACGGCCACAAGGCUAAAACUCAAAGGAAUUGACGGGGCCCCGCACAAGCGGCGGAGCAUGCGGAUUAAUUCGAUGCAACGCGUAGAACCUUACCUGGGUUUGACAUGGAUCGGGAGUGCUCAGAGAUGGGUGUGCCUCCUUUGGGGUCGGUUCACAGGUGGUGCAUGGCUGUCGUCAGCUCGUGUCGUGAGAUGUUGGGUUAAGUCCCGCAACGAGCGCAACCCUUGUUCACUGUUGCCAGCACGUUAUGGUGGGGACUCAGUGGAGACCGCCGGGGUCAACUCGGAGGAAGGUGGGGAUGACGUCAAGUCAUCAUGCCCCUUAUGUCCAGGGCUUCACGCAUGCUACAAUGGCUGGUACAGAGAGUGGCGAGCCUGUGAGGGUGAGCGAAUCUCGGAAAGCCGGUCUCAGUUCGGAUUGGGGUCUGCAACUCGACCUCAUGAAGUCGGAGUCGCUAGUAAUCGCAGAUCAGCAACGCUGCGGUGAAUACGUUCCCGGGGCU
rnacentral:rRNA from 1 species